rnacentral:rRNA from 1 species
GACGAACGCUGGCGGCGUGCUUAACACAUGCAAGUCGAACGGAGUGGCGAACGGGUGAGUAACACGUGGGUGACCUGCCCUGCACUUCGGGAUAAGCCUGGGAAACUGGGUCUCAUACCGGUUAGUGUGGGAUGGGCCCGCGGCCUAUCAGCUUGUUGGUGGGGUAAUGGCCUACCACGGCGGCGACGGGUAGCCGGCCUGCGAGGGUGGACGGCCACAUGGGGACUGCGAGACGGACCAGACGCCGACGGGAGGCAGCAGUGGUGAAUAUUGCACAAUGGGCGGAAGCCUGAUGCAGCGACGCCGCGUGGGGGAUGACGGCCUUCGGGUUGUAAACUCCUUUCGCCAGCGACGCGGUAGCUGGAGAAGAAGCACCGGCUAACUACGUGCCAGCAGCCGCGGUAAUAC